rnacentral:rRNA from 1 species
UACAGAGGGUGCAAGCGUUGUUCGGAAUUACUGGGCGUAAAGCGCGCGCAGGCGGAUCCUGUAAGUCUGGAGUGAAAUCUCACCGCUCAACGGUGAGGCUGCUUUGGAUACUGCGGAUCUGGAGACCGGUAGAGGCUGGUAGAAUUGCAGGUGUAGCGGUGGAAUGCGUAGAGAUCUGCAAGAAUACCCGUGGCGAAGGCGGCCAGCU